rnacentral:rRNA from 1 species
AGGACGAACGCUGGCGGCGUGCUUAACACAUGCAAGUCGAACGGAAAGGCCCUUCGGGGUACUCGAGUGGCGAACGGGUGAGUAACACGUGGGCAACCUGCCCCUAGCUCUGGGAUAACACUUGGAAACAGGUGCUAAUACCGGAUAACGACUCGACAAGGCAUCUUGACGAGUCCAAAGUUUUUCGGCUAGGGAUGGGCCCGCGGCCUAUCAGCUUGUUGGUGGGGUAAUGGCCCACCAAGGCAACGACGGGUA